ACACAGUGCUUAUCCAGUUCAUCUUUCUGCUCUAUCAGGUCAAUGCAGGAGAUCACAAAAUGAGAAAAUUCAGUGGUCGCUCUUCUUUAAGAUAUGUGUGAACGGCCACUGUUUCUAAGCCAGAAAAACAUUCUUGUAACAGUGGGUUCCCAGACAGACACGGCUAGGGGGAAAUGCCACUUGCUCAGAACAGCUACCUUGCUCUAGCCUCCGGGAACCACACCACUGCCUCGAGCCUUGAAUUUUGCUUCUCCCUGAACCCCAAAUCCAUGAAUCGGUGCCGCAAACUGAUGAUGAAUUUUAUUUGCUGAAGACCCUGGAAAUCCUGAAGGUAGAGUAUGAGGAAGACCAGCUAUCUCUGUAGCACCAUCCAUGGUGGGGAUGUCCUCUGUGUGACAGAAGGAAGGACUACAGAGUAGGUAGACAUCGAUGAGGAGCUGAUGCAGCUAAUGAUCAAGCAACUCGUCUGAAACCACAGAGGAAAUCUGUAGUGGAACAAGGGAUGGGAUCUGGAUAUUCCUCUUUCCCUCGCACCCCAGCGCUGGAUCAGCCUUGGUAGCACGUGAAGAGAUGACCGUGUUGGCAUUUGUUCUCCUGCAAAUAUUUCCAACUGCAAAAGUAUCUACACCAGCCAGAUUGUGUAAAGCUUGAAUAAAAAAUCCUCUUUGUGAAAUGGCCAGCUAUGGCAAGUUACAAAUGCUAUUAAUAUUCUUUUAGUCUCUGUGCUCCACAGUGAGAGGGUAACCCUUCUUUAUAAGGAAAUGGAGCAACUUGUGAGUAAUGGGUAAUUUCCUGAUAUACAAACACUGCAGCCCACCUUUCCCCCUCAGAUCUUCAGGCCAUGUCUUUUAUCAUAGGUUUUUCCCCUUGUGGAGAACCACGUUAAGGUUUUUUAGAUAAUGUAGGGUUCAAUCCUAAACCCACAUAAAGCAAUAGGAAAUAUUUCCCCCUGGGUACAGAUUAUGCCACUAUUGGAAGAAUGUGUAGCAAGAUAUUGAAUGUCUCUCCGAUCUCCAGGGUUAGAAAUCCUGAUGUUUUUCACCUUUGCAUCAGUAACUAAAGCGCUACAUCAACUAGCACCCCACAAAACUAGAAGAUUUUAUAUGAAACCGCUGCAUUUUGUCCAGCUUUAUUUAUGAUGUAAGGCCUUCACAGGAAGAAUCAAUUCCUUAUGUAAAAUCAUCAAUGGCUGCCUAGAAAAAAGGCCACGAUUAUUUGUUCAUAUUUGCAUCAUUUUAUAUACACUCAGAAAGCCCUGAAAAAGGUUGAGUGAGCAUAAAACAAAGUUAAACUAUAUGGAAACUUUCCAGCCCCCACUCUCCAAGUCAGAACACAGGGUUAAAUCUGUUUCUAUUUAGACAAAACCCAACCAGUAUUUUUAUUAUCCUGCCUGCAAAGCGUUGGAUGUGCAUGUGCGGAAAAUGCAUUGUCUCUUUAAAUAAAAGGACUGUGGCUGGA